GAACAAUUUUUCCAACUAUUUAGUUGGUCUAAUAAAACAUAUCACAUUUACCCAAAGAAGCUUUUCUGCCUGUGUCCUUAGACCAGUGGCUAUAACCAACACCCCUAAUUCUGACUCUUGUGCAUUUUUGCCAGAAUCGCCAUCAAAAUGCAGGAGUACAAGUAACUCCAUACUGCUGACUAAACAAUAGACUUGAGCUGAGAACACUUGGGCAGGGAGCCAGAACAGUUAUCCACUUUGACCUGAAGAAGUGGGCUUUAUGUUAAAAAAAAAAAAAAAAAAGGCCAUUGGGUGAGACCAGAGUUCUGUCAAUCCUGCUGUAUGAGGUGUCGGAAUUCAGCUAUCAGAAGUAAAAGGCCUCACAGAAGUCAGCAGCAUAAGAUGAGGGCAGAUUUAGUUCCUGUGUCAUUUUAAAAGGAAGAUAAAUGAGUUCUCAAGUGUAAUACUCAGUGUCCUGUUGGCUUGUCUGCUCAGCACUCGGCUCCUACAGUUCCUAAAGCUGCGUUCAGAGGACAAGGAUUCAGAAUUCUCAGGAAAGGGCACUUCGGCAAGCUCUAACUCAUAACACCCUUACCAAGGUGAAGCAGAAAAUAGACAACAAUUGAAUGCAGAAAGAAUGGCAAGACUAAGACAAAGUGAAACAAAUGAGCAAAGAGGAUGUCGUAGAAGAGAUGCAAUGGAAAGGCAAAGGGUUUACAGAGACAGUAGAAGACAGGCUGAAAGAGUAGACAAUAGAUUCACUGAAGACGAGAUUGAGAAACAUAGUUGUGGAUUGAUGAACGUGGUGUGCCAAUUUUGUUACUCUUCAAACUUCAAAGCUGAAAGACCAUCAGAUGGCCAAUUCCUGAGUUGUCAUAAGGGUAAAGUGAUUCUGCCUCCAAGAAGACUGUUUCCAGAGUAUAUGCAGGAUUUGAUAACAAAUUGGAACAAUGAGCAUUACCAGAACUUUAAAACAAACAUUCAAUUAUACAAUAGUGCAUUGUCUGUUGAGCAAAGGCCGUUGUGAUGAGAUGUAUGAUUCACAGAUCGUGUGGAGGAUUGAAUCCAAAUGCCCCAUGCAUGGAAAAUGAUCAUUGUCUGAAGAAAUAACCAAAGGAUUUUAGAGAGGAGACGCUUGGAAACGUUGAUGGAUACCCCCUAGCCUAUUUUUUGCCCGUCAUUUUUGACAGGCUUUUAUACUAGUAGACAAAUAAAUCCCCUAACCCUUUGAAUCAAGAGCCUGGCCUUGGAUCACAGGGGUUGGCCAGGGUGCUACUGGAGGUUCUCAGCACUAUCAGGUGCUAAGACCUUUCCAACUGAGGCUCCAUUCUUUCUACUCACAUUGGCAUCAGUGGGCAUUGAGAGUGCUUUGAACAUUAGAGGCUUGGGUGAAAUCCUAGUGUCUUGAAAUCAGUGGGAGUUUUGACACAGUUUCAACAGAGCCAGGAUUUCACUGUUGGUACUUCUAGCCAGGAAGCAUCGGAACUUGGACACUUCCUUCAAAAGAGAGCAAGCAAGGUUUGUAGCUGUUUGCCCGAGAACAAGAGAAGAUACUUUAGUUCUGUAUCUAAAAAGCCACAAUUUUCUUUGGAUAUCAGUUUUUGACUCUUUCUUUUCAGCACUGGCUGCAUCUCCUUUCUGUGCUUAGAGAGGAAAGCUAGUGUUGCUUCUUGUGAUAUCACCCAAAUGGACUGCACAGUUUCAAUAUGGUCAAUAUUCAGUCAUGAAUAUGGCAGUCGGUUAUAUGCAGUACUUGUGGGCUGUGGUCACAUGUCAUUAGGGUUAGGAUUUGAGUUGUUUGGGAAUUUUUUUGACAAAAGCCAGCCAAGAAAUGCCUUUUUACUGAAACCAAAAGCACUUGCUGGAAAAGAUCUGUUUUGGUGAACUUCCUGUUUAAAAAAUUCUAAAGAAGUUUUCAAAUGUCCCUUUCACUAUUUUCAAAAUGAGCACUUGAGAAGUUAUUUCUUUCUGCUCAAAAUAUAUUUUUG